CAGUCGAGGGGUAUAGUUCUUCCGAAUAGAGACCGGCGCACGGGUGCGUAACGCGUAUGCCAUCUACCUUUCACAGAGGGAUAGCCCAGAGAAAUUUGGAUUAAUACCUCAUAGUAUGCAGAGUUGGCAUCAACACUGCAUUAAAGUCACAACGGUGAAAGAUGAGCAUGCCUCCCAUUAGCUAGUUGGUAAGGUAACGGCUUACCAAGGCAACGAUGGGUAGGGGUCCUGAGAGGGAGAUCCCCCACACUGGUACUGAGACACGGACCAGACUCCUACGGGAGGCAGCAGUGAGGAAUAUUGGUCAAUGGGCGCAAGCCUGAACCAGCCAUGCCGCGUGCAGGAUGACGGUCCUAUGGAUUGUAAACUGCUUUUGUACAGGAAGAAACAACAUUACGUGUAAUGUCUUGACGGUACUGUAAGAAUAAGGAUCGGCUAACUCCGUGCCAGCAGCCCCGGUAAUACGGAGGAUCCAAGCGUUAUCCGGAAUCAUUGGGUUUAAAGGGUCCGUAGGCGGUUUAGUAAGUCAGUGGUGAAAGCCCAUCGCUCAACGGUGGAACGGCCAUUGAUACUGCUAGACUUGAAUUAUUAGGAAGUAACUAGAAUAUGUAGCGUAGCGGUGAAAUGCCUUAGAGAUUACAUGGAAUACCCAUUGCCAAGGCAGGUUACUACUAAUGGAUUGACGCUGAUGGACGAAAGCGCGGG
rnacentral:rRNA from 1 species